rnacentral:tRNA from 1 species
UCUGGAGGGGUCCUGGCUUAGUGGCAGAGCAUCUGUUUUUCAUGCAGAAGGUCUCAAGUUCCAUCUCCAGCA